AAGGGCUUUAUUUAAUUGUAAUCAUCCAAAAUUUGCACAAGUAAUGCCCUCAUUUCCUUUCAAAUUUGGGGUGUAAACAAGUCGUUGAGCUUGCUCCAGCACCCACACCUACAGCACUGGGAUGGCUGUGCCUGCAGCGGGAAAGUCCCAUGCAGGACUCUGAGCAGAGGUGACCACAUAAAGCCAAAGACAAGUGUGCUGUAUGCACAGGAAUGAGAGCAGCCAAGCAGAGCAAAGGGAUGCAGGGUGACUGCAAAUAUGACCAACUGGAGAGCUUCCUCUGCUGCUCUGGCUUGGAGCACUGCCAUCAGUGCCUGCCUCAGCUGGAGGGGGGGGUGGGGGUGUUUGGCUUCAGGAAUUCUGCUGCCCUCAGCUGUGUGAUGAAGUGGGUAAAGGAGUUGGCCAGGGGGACUGAUGGUGUCAGAAACCAACCCGCCAUUCCCACCCCACCUCGUGUCCCUGGAGCCUCCAAGAGGAAGUUGCAUCCCCAUGCCGACUGAGCAGUUGCAUUCUUGCAUCCCAGGACUCCUGGCCAACAGAGCACCAUGAAGCUGUGCCUCAGGUACAGAGGCCACUAACACCUGAAUGAGACAUAGAAGUGCUCUGAACAGCAAGCCCAAGCACUGCUAACCCGCUUAUGAGAAGCUGGCUGACACAAUCCAUCCGCUUCCCGAGGCCUGAGAAGAAUAUGAAAUCAGAUUAAUCAGAUGAAGACGACUCAUCUGAAUCCCAUCACAUCAGGGUGAGGCUGUAAGCGGAAGGGUGCUGGGCACUCUGGUGUCCUAAACACCACCUACAAAGCAGAUCUGCAGAAUGGGACAGAAAGGAAUCAAUUAAAUAUAUCUCUGCUGCACUCAACGCAGUUCCAUGGGUGUCUGCAGAAAUUAGGGGUUCCACAUCCUUCCCAAGGGCUCUGCUGCACCACUCCCUUUCUCUCUCAUCGCCAAUAAGGGCUGGGCGUCCCGCCGAGCUCGGGAUGGACAGGUGAUAUUUAAUGACAGUUUUUCAAGUUGCUUUUCCCAGAGCCAUUACAAAACGUACAACCAGCACAAAUCUGACUGUAGGGUGAAUUUGCCACCUUGAAAUCAAAUUCUCAUGGAAAUGAAAUGGCUGACCCCAAAUCCCCCGAAUGCUGGAUGAGCUCGCAUGAUAAACAACUUGUAAUGGCUCUGCUGGCGCUACCGACUCUGUUAAAUGUCACUGCUUCUCUAAAUACCUUCCGGGAGAUGACUGCUCUAUCUGUAUUCUGUAUUUUCCCCUUUUUAAUAUCAGCGUCUGCAAUGUUGCCAUCCUGGAAGCCAUUGUCCAGGGAUUGCAGAGAGCCUCAGACUCAUUUUGCUCUCUGUCACGUCAGUCAUUUCUCAGUAUCCACAUCAGUGUUUAGCUCACAACAACUUUACAGCAAGCUGCCUGCUGCCUGGCAGGCCAGGCUGGCACAGACCCCACUCUGCUCCUCUGGAAGGGCCGUGCACAGCCCCAUGGGGACACAUCUGCUGGUCGCUGCUGCCAAGCCCUUAUGGUCAUCAGCAUCACCACCUGGUCUUGCUUCCCUUUCAAGACCACUUCUUGUUUUAAGUCAGCAGAAUGAUCGCUUCAUGCUUUUAUUACACGGAUCUAUAUUUGGGGUGCUGAAAAUGGUUUGCAUCUAAUUAGCCUACCCCAUCCCCCCCCAAAAAAGGUGCCAAACUCAUCUUGUUAAACCACAUGAGCAACACCAUGCAGAUAGCCCAGCACAGCAGGUGCAUUCUGUCACAUAGCAAACCCUGCAUUGCUGUCUCUAAAUGUCUGAAAGUCUGUAAAACAGCUCUAAAUACAAUUAGGGAGCAGUGGAAGCAAAAUGACUGGGGCAUUUGCAUCCAGCUGCUUGCCUGGAGCAUGGGCUGCUGUGUGCAGAGCUCAAGGAUUCAAGCGUUGGCCACAAUAGCAGUAACACAGAGCUUCACUGCAUUCUGCUUUGGUUUUGAUGGCUUUCCAUGGUGUGAAAUUGGAGCUCAUUACAUUAAUUGUGCUUUCCUGGAUUCUUUCAUGGGGUGCAUGGAUGGCAGGAAAUGACUUACAGAACAAA